AUUGAACGCUGGCGGCAGGCCUAACACAUGCAAGUCGAGCGGUAGAGAGGUGCUUGCACCUCUUGAGAGCGGCGGACGGGUGAGUAAUGCCUAGGAAUCUGCCUGGUAGUGGGGGAUAACGCUCGGAAACGGGCGCUAAUACCGCAUACGUCCUACGGGAGAAAGCAGGGGACCUUCGGGCCUUGCGCUAUCAGAUGAGCCUAGGUCGGAUUAGCUAGUUGGUGAGGUAAUGGCUCACCAAGGCGACGAUCCGUAACUGGUCUGAGAGGAUGAUCAGUCACACUGGAACUGAGACACGGUCCAGACUCCUACGGGAGGCAGCAGUGGGGAAUAUUGGACAAUGGGCGAAAGCCUGAUCCAGCCAUGCCGCGUGUGUGAAGAAGGUCUUCGGAUUGUAAAGCACUUUAAGUUGGGAGGAAGGGUCGUUACCUAAUACGUGACGAUUUUGACGUUACCGACAGAAUAAGCACCGGCUAACUCUGUGCCAGCCGCCGCAGUAAAAC
rnacentral:rRNA from 1 species